AUGAUCGACUACGGUACGACCACUACGACGACGGCGGCGCGGUCCAGCGGGCGCGGCGCGGGCGGCCAGAGCGCGCCCCGGCAGAGCGGGCACGUCCGGCGCGUCCGGAUCCACCGGUCGGCGUCGCACGCGGCGUGGAAGAAGUGCCCGCACGCAGGCACCACGCGCACCAGCUCCUCGGGCGCCUUGGCGUACUCCGACUGGCAGAAGGCGCAGCAGCGCUGCCGCGCCCUCGCCGCCUCGCCCACCUGCGCGUACGCCACCAGCGUCGCGUCGCCGAGCGCGCGCUCCACGUCCUCAGCGCCGCCGUCGUCCCUGCAGGCGCCCGAGGCGGCGGCGGCGAGGGCGACGAUGAGCAGCGCCAGGGCGACCACCGCCGCCACCUCGAGAUCGAGCGCCAUGGCGGGGCUCAUCUCUUCCUUCCUUCCUCUCUGGCCUGAUCGGUCGAUGGAACGAACGGCAGGGCGCGACGCCAACCUUGUAUGCGCAGUGUGCGUCCUCUUCCAGUCUCCCCUUCCUCCUUGGGCUGACCUCCUUUUGUAG
rnacentral:rRNA from 1 species